rnacentral:misc_RNA from 1 species
CAACUUCUCCUGUAAGUGCUCCGGCUAAAUCUCCGACAACUUCUCCCGCAAGUUCUCCGGUGACUUCUCCGUCUUCCACUCCUUCCUCUUCCCCUUCAAAAUCUCCCGCACAAUCUCCUAAAAUCUCACCUGCAAUCCUGCCAUCCCCAACUUCUGUUGUUCCCCCAUCUCCAAGUGGGUCCCCUCCAGUUUUGUCUCCAACGACUCCACCGCCAUCGGUUUCCACUCCUUCCUCUUCCCCUUCAAAAU